UCUAGAAUUUACCUCUCAGAUUCUCCUAAUUCCGCCCCCAAAUUGCUCCCUUCCGCCCCCGGAAGCUGCUUUCACGACCGGCCCAUCGUCAGAAAUGGUCGACUCUUUUUCAUCUCUGCUCAUGAAAACCCCCAAAAGCCCUUCACGAGCUGGUCCGCUCUGUAUUCCACUCCGUUGGACGUUGGCGACUCGGUUACCCGGCUGACUCCUCCUGGGUCCGUCGAUUUCAGUCCGGCGGUUUCGGAAAGUGGGAAGUUUGUGGCGGUUGCUUCUUAUGGCUCUCGUACUUGGGGCGGCGAAUUUCACGAGCUCCACACAGAAAUUGUUGUGUUCAAAUCUUCUGACCCAGAUCGACGCG
rnacentral:misc_RNA from 1 species